rnacentral:rRNA from 1 species
UAACCAUGCAAGUCGAACGCUCACCUUCGGGUGGGAGUGGCAGACGGGUGAGUAACACGUGGGAACGUACCCUUUGGUUCGGGACAACUCUGGGAAACUGGAGCUAAUACCGGAUACGCCCUUUUGGGGAAAGGUUUACUGCCGAAGGAUCGGCCCGCGUCUGAUUAGCUAGUUGGUGGGGUAACGGCCUACCAAGGCGACGAUCAGUAGCUGGUCUGAGAGGAUGAUCAGCCACACUGGGACUGAGACACGGCCCAGACUCCUACGGGAGGCAGCAGUGGGGAAUAUUGGACAAUGGGCGCAAGCCUGAUCCAGCCAUGCCGCGUGAGUGAUGAAGGCCUUAGGGUUGUAAAGCUCUUUUAUCCGGGACGAUAAUGACGGUACCGGAGGAAUAGGCCCCGGCUAACUUCGUGCCAGCAGCCGCGGUAAUACGAAGGGGGCUAGCGUUGCUCGGAAUCACUGGGCGUAAAGGGCGCGUAGGCGGCGUUUUAAGUCGGGGGUGAAAGCCUGUGGCUCAACCACAUAAUGGCCUUCGAUACUGGGACGCUUGAGUCUGGUAGAGGUUGGUGGAACUGCGAGUGUAGAGGUGAAAUUCGUAGAUAUUCGCAAGAACACCGGUGGCGAAGGCGGCCAACUGGACCGGCACUGACGCUGAGGCGCGAAAGCGUGGGGAGCGAACAGGAUUAGAUACCCUGGUAGUCCACGCUGUAAACGAUGAAUGCUAGCUGUUGGGAUGCAUGC